GAGUGGGGUAUGGGGCUGGAGGGGGGUUAUGAGGGCCAGGGGUUAUGGGGCUGGGGGGGGCGCUAUGGGGCCAGGGGGGGCCGCUAUGGGGUCGGAGGGCUCCGCUAUUGGGGCAGGGGGGGUCUCCUUGGGGUCACAGGCUCCGCUAUGGGGCAGGAGGGGCCGCUGUGGGGCCGCUAUGGGGCGAUGUGGGGCCGGCGGGCAUCGCUAUUGGGGCAAAAGAAUGGGUCCCCUAUGGGGCCGGGGGGGGCCGCUAUGGGCUGGUGGGCUCUGCUAUAGGGCAGUGGGGGGUCUCGUUUGGGCGUCAGAGGGCUCCGCUAUGGGGCGGGGGGGUCGAUAUGGGUUGGAGGGCUCCGCUAUGGGGCUGGGCGGUGGCAGCUGGGGGGCGCGGCGGACGAUGCCCAAAGUGGAGGGUGGGGGGGAUGUGUGGGGCGGGAUGUGGGGCUGGUGUGGGGCUGGAUGGUGGGGCUGGAUGUGGGGCUGGAUGUGGGCGGAUGUGGGGGCGCUGCUGGGCCCCCCGGGUUGUGGGGCAGAACCAGGAGCGGGAUGAGAUCCGGGAACGGGUCAACUUGUCUGCCUUCGGGAGUCCCAUCGCUAUGGGAGAUUGGGGGGCAGGGGGAGGACAUUUGACCCACAAGCACAAUACAGACCCAGCCCCAUAUCCCAGCCCCACAUCCCUGUACCCCACAUCUCAGCCCCAUACUCUCAGCCCACAUCCGAUAUCCCCCCAGCGCCCAACAUCCCAUGGCCUUAUAUUCCAACCCCAUAUCCGUGUAUCACUCCCCAGCCCCACAUCCCAGCCCUAUAUCCCUAUACCCCCCAGCCCCAUAUCCCAGUACCUCCCCCCUAGCUCCACUUCACCCCCAGCCCCACAUCCCAGCCCCAUAUCCCACCCAAUAUCCCCCCCAGCCCCAUAUAUCAACCCCACAUCCCAGUACCCCCCUCCAGCCCACAUUCUCUCUUGCCCCAUAUCCCAGCCCCAUGUAUUCCCUGUAAUACCCCUCCGCAAUCUCUCACAGUCCCAGCCAGCAUAUUUUCCAGCCCCAUACCAGCCCCACAUUUCCCAGGCUCCCAUAUCCCUAUACCUCUCCCCAGCCCAUCCCAUCCCAUCCCAUCCUAAUAUCCCUGUACCGCCCAUUAUCCCAGCCCCAUAUCCUAUACCCCUCCAACCCUCACAAUCCCAGCCCACAUCCCAGCCCCAAUAUCCCCAUACCCCUGUACCCCCCCCCCAGCACCCACAUC
rnacentral:lncRNA from 1 species